AGCGCCACUGCAACCGUUAGAGUUAAACGAAACUUUUGCGGUGGUUUUUAGGAUUAGUCUAGUAGUGUGGUUCGAGUGGUUAUGUGGGUAGAUACGACGUCUCUUUGGUGACCGAACUGCACUUGUUUAUUUACGUUGUCUAAUUAUUGUUUCUAUGGUCACAAGUAUAAUUUAUAAAAUCGCCAUAACGAUCAACAAGAAGGUGUCAACAGAUGAAGGGUGUACGUAUUUUUAUAUCAGGUCGGUCCAAAUAGGCGCGUGCUCUCGCGGCAACUGAUAAGACGAAGAGAAAAGGCUGGAGCUCGUGCGCCCGGUGUAUGGGAGAUCCGAAGCUAUGGGCCCAUUCCGGUAGCUUCAAUGAUGAAUGAACUAGUGAGUUAUUGCUCUGGCCUAUUGUGGACUCCCAUAAAAGCUCGCUGACGUCGGCUUUUUCUGCCGCAACCAAUAAUCACGCAGUUAAAGGCCUUGUGUACACAAAGGAGUCUGUGCAUGUAAUUUAGUAGAAAGCAGUGGCGGAAGGCGUUGGUGAGAGGACCAGACGCCUUGUGGUACGGACUGAAAGAGGCUGCAACACUAGGUCCUGCAAGGAAGAAAUCCAUAUUAUCCUAUGCUACAAGGACUUUAAGGAAAUAAAAAGAAGAUAGCUGAUAUAUUUUUCGUCACGCCUUAGGGUGUUAAUGGCGUGAAAAAGUUUCGCCACUGGAAUAUGAAUGAUACGUACAACACAGACACGAACUUUUGAAGCCUUCAUUGUGCUGAACUACCUUACCAUUGGGGUUAAUAACUUGCCAGAAUCGUUUAGACUGGCAACUUUAUGGAUAUAAAAAGUUUUUAUGUACAAUCGCGUUAACCAAGAAGCUAAAACAAAUAAACUUAUUUAGCUUCUUUGAUGAUGUAAGUUGAGGGGUAUAUGUGGUUCGUGUCAGUUCCAGUUAAAGAUUUAUGGCGGUUGUGAUAUGAAAAACGUAGAGGUUAUAGCAAACAUAAUGCUCAUAGUCGUACGUAUGUUCUACGCUGUCUCCUGUCUUCCCUUUAUGUUUUGUAAUGAAUUGUGAAAGGAGACACAGUGGGCUUCCUAAAGCGGUUGAAUGCUUCCCUGCAUCCGUGGGAACACAGUCAUAAACGGCUUGAAAAUUGGACGACUCAGCACUUAUGACGGCGGGAUAUCCGAGAAUAUGCAUUACAUAAGGCUUCACUACGCCGUGGAAUAUAGUAGGAAUUAUCUAACGUAUUUCCAAUGAACAAGUGUUUAUAUCUGAUCCCGUGUUGUGCUAAGCUUGUGUAGCGAGAAGGGGUGUACUAAGCACUUGCUAUUUUUCAUUUCCUUACGUACAAGCGUUUUACAUCUGCAAGGAAUAAAGGUCAUCAGAAUCUAGAUACGAAGAGCUACUUGGCACACUCGCUCUAUCUUCCGUAUAUAUAUGCCGCUUUUCAGUUAUCCAGAGCGUCCCAAAGUCGAAAACUGCUCACGUGUGCACAAAGUUCAACUACGAAAGAGGAGAUAUUCGUCAGGCAACAGUGUCGAAAUUUAACAACGAAGAGAUGUUAAAAAAAAUCUGAUUCAAAAUAUUAGUAACUACUUAAUAACUACUUUAUUAUUGUAUUUUAUUAAAAUGUAAUAAAUGUUUCAUUAUGGUGGUAUUUAGUGUUCGUUGUUGAUGUUAAUGAUAAUGCUGAAAUUAGAUUAUACUACAAAGCUAUCCUGAUAAUGCAGUAUUUGCAGUAAUAUUGCAGUAAUUUUACUUUGAAAAUGUGGAACACUAAAGAAAUUUUACAAUAAAGGUGCAUUAAAUAUACUAGAUAACUAUAGUAACUUCCUUGUAGUAAAGUGACAAAAGUACUACAUUAAUGCUGCAGUAAUUCCACUAUGAAAGUAUACUAAUAUUUUACUGUAAAAGUGCAACAAGUUUGCAACAAAACUAAAGUAACUUCCUUGUAAAAUGUUAAAAAAUACUGCAAAAAAUGUUUUAGCUUAUUAUAGUAAAUUUUACUGUAAUAAUACUAUAUAGGACAUUUUCACUAGGGUCAUUAAAAGAAGUUACAUGGUGGUGAUUAUUAUAAUUUAAAAUUCCUAAAAAGGAAGUUACAUGAUGAUUAGUUUUAUGGUUUAAAACUCAUUUAAAAGCAAGUUACAUGAUGCUAAUCUUAUAGAUUAAAACUCACCGAAAGAAAAGCAACGUGGUGAUUAUUUUUAUGGUUCAAUGUCACUUGGAUAUUCCCUAAACACAAAGUAAAAAUUAAAUUUACUUCUAGAAUUCCUUUCUACUCAUAUCAUCCUCACAAAUUUACGUGAUCAGUAAGCCUGCUUUACGGUUCACGUGUGAAUCUUACGGUGGGCUUAAUAAAGGAAAAUUAGGUAGCGAUACCAUUCGCGAUAAAAAAGAUGAUACUAUAGCUCUUUAAAUAUUUGAGUACCAACUAACCUCUGCUAUUCGUGGUCUGAGAAACGUACACGUGAUUAACGUCCGGGUCGUGUUUUACGUCACCUUAUCGAGUGUGUAUCUUCAGUCUUAAGUUUCUGUUAGCUUUUCCGUUACUUUUUUACUACAGGAGUCCAUUACCAAAAUUCUCCGUUUAUUUCAAGGGUUAUGUCUAUGUGUUUGUAUACGUUUGUGCAUAUAUAAAUAAACUAAUAACCAUGCAGA
rnacentral:misc_RNA from 1 species